rnacentral:lncRNA from 1 species
UAUUAAAAAAAAGUUGUCUUGCCUUUUAUGAUGUAGCCUGGGAAAUCACAGACAUCCACUUCUAUCAGUCUCAACUCACCCAGGUUCAUGGGGGGCAGGAUGGAGAAUGUGAUGUGACCUUUUGACAGUAAGUGUGCCAAAGUCACAUUGGAAGAAGAGCCUGUGGCCUGAGAAAUGUUCUUGUGAUCAUUUCUGGAGAAAAACCUUCUGCCACACUAGUCCAGGCCCAAUUUUAAUGAUUUUUAAACUUGGGGUUUUCUUUUCCCCAAUUUUUGAACCAAGUCUAAAUGCAAUGUUUCAGUUCAAAGUUUUAAAUUAUCAAGGGAGAAUUUUUCUCUCACCCAGAGCCCAGGCAAAGAUGAAUAAGCUUAUACGUAAUUCUUUCUGUGCCAGUUGGUUGACUUGCCUAAAUGCACUCUUUUUUUUGGACAAUGUAGCCUUUUGAAGGUCAUGGUUUCUAUUAUAGCUUCACUUUUAUUUUUUAGGCAUCCUUCUCCCUCACUGGAUGAAGCCCUCCAAGAAUAGCAACUGUGUCUCUUUCAUUUUCCUAUUUCUAGCAAACAGCACAAAUACACAGUAGAGGCUCAGUGAGUGUUUUUGAACUGAACAGACCCCUUUCCUUUAUUUGACCUCAUGCUUCUGUUCUUUAUUCAUUCAUUUCUGUUGACUUCAUUAUUUUAUCUUGUUUUUUUUUAAAAAAGUUAUUUGUUUUUUAAAGUCUGUGAUUCUUGGAGACACAGGCCCAUAGAUAUCUGAUAAAUUAAUAAUGUUAUGAGUUUAGCAUUUAUAUGAUUCUGUAUAUUUGCAAUGCAGCACGCAUAAAUAUUUCAGUGCCAUGCACUUAAAAGGUAGCAGGGUAGAAAAGCAUUUCCUUGGUUCUGUGGCCCCCUGGGGUGAUUCUUCCCUUUCAUUUCUUUCCAAAUACAAAGAAAGUAUACAUUUCAUCCCUCCUCCAACUUAUCCUAUAUGGACAUUGAAAGUCCUUUGAAAAGGCUGUGGCCUCUAGAAAUGGGCUAUGUGGAGAGGUAUUCCUCUAGAGCUAUUCCUCUCAAUCCUGGCUGAGUGCUGUUAGUUGUAAUUUCAGCAAAGCUGCUGGGUGCAGUAUCUUUGUGAGGCAACUUGUGGAUCCAGACAGUGAAGAGUGGAGGAUAAAUAAAGUCAGGAGGAGAAGGCUACCUUGAAGAUGUAUUUAAAAGAACAGACUCAGCAUUAUUUAUGGUAGAAUCUUGUUUUUGAUAAUUCCCAGUAUAUUUCUUUUUGUGUAGUUCUUCAACUCAUAAAAUGUUUCCCAUUGGUUCUGAUGUGGAUGACUCUGAAUUUUUCAUGUUAAUAGGGAGAAUGAGAGAAUGUUUUUUCUUUUCCAUUUGGUUGACAUAAUGUAAAGGAUAUUACAGGAUAUUGAAUACAGUUCCCUGUGCUUUACAGUAGGAUCUUGUCAUUUAUCCAUUCUCUGUAUAAUAGUUUACAUCUGCUAAUCUCAAAUUCCCCAUCUAUCCCUCCCCGACCCCCACCCUUGGCAAUCACAAGUCUGUUCUCCAUGUCUGUGUGUCUGUUUCUGUUUUGUAGAUAGGUUCAUUUGUGUCAUAUUUUAUUUAUUUAUUUCCACUGAGCAAGGGCAGGGACCGAACCCGCAACCUCAUGGUUCCUAGUCGGAUUCGUUAACCACUGCGCCACGACGGGAACUCCUCCUGUGUCAUAUUUUAGAUUCCACAUAUAAGUGAUAUCGUAUUGUAUUUGUCCUCUUUCUGACUUUAACUUAGCAGGAUAAUCUCUAGGUCCAUCCAUGUUGCUAAAAAUGGCAUUAUUUAUUUUUUAAUGGCUGAAUAGUAUCCCACUGUGUGUGUGUAUAUGUAUACACACAUAUUAUAUAUGUAUAUUACAUAUACAUAAUAGACAUACACAUAUACAUAUACAUUAUAUAUAAAAAUAUAUACUACAUUAUCUACAUUCACUUGUCAAUGAGCAUUUAGGUUGUUUCCAUGUCUUGGCUAUUGUACAUAGUGCUGCUACAAACAUAGGGGUGCAUGUAUCUUUUCGAAUUAUAGUUUUGUCUGGGCGUAUGCCCAGGAGUGGGAUGUAUUGCAACUCUAUUUUUAGUUUUUUGAGGAACUUCCAUACUGUUCUCCAUAGUGGCUGCACCAAUUUACAUUCCCACCAACAGUUAGGAGGGUACAAUUUUCUCCAUACCCUCUCCAGCAUUUAUUAUUUGUAGACUUUUUAAUGAUGGCCAUUCUGACCUAUGUAAACUAUAAAUGCAAAUCAAAACUACAAUGUACCUCACUGUAGUUUAGCUUUGAUUUGCAUUUCUCUAAUAACUGGUGAUGAUGAGCAUCUUUUCAUGUGCCUACUGGCCAUCUGUAUCUUGAAAAUGGGAAAGUUUUAAAAAUUACUUCCCAUUGUAUUCUAUCCCAAUAGAUUGGAUAUAGUUAUCUGUGCUGUACAGUAAGACCUCAUUGCUUAUCUAUUAAAUGCACUAGUUUGCAUCUACUAAUCCCAAACUCCCAGUCUAUCCCACACCCUCCCCCUUCCCCUUGGCAACCACAAAUCUAAAGAAUGUGUGUGUGUUUGUAUACCCAUGCAUACAUAUAUAUAUGACUGGGUCACUUUGCUCUACAGCAGAAAUUGGCACACUAUUGUAAAUCAACUAUACUUUAAUAAAAAAUAAAAAAGUUAAAAAGCGCAACACUUCAUAAAAAAAUGGUUUCCCAAACCUCCCUUUAAUCAUUAGUUUAAGCUUUUGCCCUCUCCUCACCCAAUCAACUCUUUUUGUGAGUAUCUUGGUUAAGCAGCAAACAUUGGCUUAUUAGAAUUUCAUCCCCUUCCCUUUAAUUUAACAAGGUCAGUAAUAAUAAGACUAAUACCCGGCAUUUGUAUUGUGCUUUGGCAUUUACAGCACAUUUUCACAUUAUUUCAAAAAUGUAGAUGAGAGAGUCCCACGGAGAAUUGUCCUGAACACUGCCCUCAUUUAAACACUGGUUACCACAUUCUUGGAUUGUGGCCAUGGGUUCCCCUCUCUGCCUUGCAGGCCAUCCUUACAAUCGCCAUCAGCUGCAUCUUCCUAAAGUCCUAUUUGGAUGUGUCACCUUUCUGCUCAAAAAAUUCAUGACUCACUUUUGGUAAUAUAAAUAUAAAGGCCAAAUUCCUUAGCCUGCUAUUUAAAACAUUCCAAAAUUGAGUCAACAUACUAUUUCAGUCUAAUCUCCUGUUUUUUUUUUUUUUUUUUUUUUUUUUUUUGUCUUUUUAGGGCCAUACCCAAAGCAUGUGGAGUUCCCAGGCUUGGGGUCAAAUUGGAGCUAUAUCUGCAGGCUUAUACCACAGCCGUAGCAACGCAGGAUCCGAGGCUUGUCUGUGACCUACACCACAGCUCACGGCAAUGCCAGAACCUUAACCCACUAAGCAAGGCCAGGGAUCAAACCUGUGUCCUCAUGGAUACUAGUCAGAUUUGUUUCCGCUGAGUCAUGAGGGAACUCCUCCUGUUACUCUUUCACAUAAAAUUUAUGCUUCAACCCAUCCACUAUUAUCCUUUCCACACCUUAGUUUUAGUUCUUAUUAUAGUUUUUUCAUGUGGAAUUAUCUCCCUUCAUCUUUUCCUGUUAAAAAUUUACUGAACAUCUAUUUAUUGUCUUUUUUUUUUUGUCUUUUUAGGGCCACACCUGUAGCAUAUGAAGGUUCCCAGGCUAGGGGUCAAAUUGGAGCUGUAGCUGCCGGCCUACACCACAGCCACAGCAACGCCAGAUAGGAGCCAUGUCUGGUACCUACACCACAGCUCACAGGCAAUGCUGGAUCCUUAACCCACCGAGUGAGGCCAGGGAUCGAACCCGUAACCUCAUGGUUCCUAGUUGGAUUCGUUUCUGCUGC